AUUGAACGCUGGCGGCAGGCCUAACACAUGCAAGUCGAACGGUAACAGGAAGCGGCUUGCUGCUUUGCUGUCGAGUGGCGGACGUGUGUGUCAUGUCGGUGAAACUGCCUUAUGGAGGGGGAUAACUACUGGAAACGGUGCCUAUUACCGCAUAACGUCUCAACCGCAAAGAGGGGGACUUUCGGGCCGCUUUCCAUUCGCUUUGCCCUGAUUGGAUUAGCUAGUAGGUGGGGUAACGGCUCACCUAGGCGACGAUCCCUAGCUGGUCUGAGAGGAUGACCAGCCACACUGGAACUGAGACACGGUCCAGACUCCUACGGGAGGCAGCAGUGGGGAAUAUUGCACAAUGGGCGCAAGCCUGAUGCAGCCAUGCCGCGUGUAUGAAGAAGGCCUUCGGGUUGUAAAGUACUUUCAGCAGGGAGGAAGGGAGUAAAGUUAAUACCUUUGCUCAUUGACGUUACCCGCAGAAGAAGCACCGGCUAACUCCGUG
rnacentral:rRNA from 1 species